CUUGUACUUCCUGCAGGCCUGUGAGAGACUGAGUCUGUGUGCAGAGGCUUCAAAGUACAUUCCUGAAGGUUAUAAUGUGAGAGCUACACAGACAGCAACACAUUCUGCAUGUGGAUAUAAGACCUACAGGCUAGAAAUGAUUAUUUUUGUCAAAACCUUCUCAGAAUACAGAUGGUGGUAGUGAGACCACAGAGUUGCCACAGAUGAUGACAGCAUGCUGCCCGCUGUCUGCCAGGCUGUAUCAGGCUCAGAAAACAAGCCCAGUGUCUCCAGAUGAGUUCAUCAGACUUGUCAGACAUGCUGUCAUGGAAGUGAGAAACCCACCAGCCAGGAUAAGGGAGGUUGUCUGGCCAGAACACUCUGAGCGAAAAUCAAACUGCACAGAAAUGUUUCUGUCAACCAAGAAUGUGCGUCGUUUCACACCCCCCUCCCCACUGGGUACAAUAAAAGAAACAGAGCAAACAGAUGACCUGGAGGAGGAACAGUCUCUCAUUCAUAAUGUAAAUAUUUUCUCAUUAAUAUAAUGAGCACUGUA
rnacentral:lncRNA from 1 species